GUGCACCAGGCGCGAAAACUUCGCAAUGCGCGAAAGCGUGACGAGGUCAGCCCGAGUGCUAUCCGCUGAGGAUAGCUUUUCUUUGGUGUAAGGAGCCAAAGGAAUAAGAGGAGGGUAAGUCUGGCGUCAGCCGCCGCGGUAAUACCAGCUUCUCGAGUGGUGGGGGCGAUUAUUGGGCCUAAAGCGUCCGUAGCCCGCUUUUUAAGUCCUCCGUUAAAUCCGACGAUUCAAUCGUUGGGCCGCGGAGGAUACUGUCAAGCUAGGGGGCGGAAGAGGCUGACGGUAUUCUCAGGGUAGGGGUAAAAUCCUAUAAUCCCGGGAAGACCACCAGUGGCGUAGGCGGUCGGCUAGCACGCGCUCGACAGUGAGGGACGAAAGCUGGGGUAGCGAACCGGAUUAGAUACCCGGGUAGUCC
rnacentral:rRNA from 1 species